AGGGCAACGAGAGGCAAAACAAGAGGGAAGACGACUUUCCUCCUGUGAGCCAAUGAGGCCAGCUGGACUACGCCGAGACAACUGGGAGAGGCGCGGGACUCGCCCGUUCCGCGGAACGCCGGGAAGGGGUCACCUCCUGAUGAAGUUUCCGGUUCCGGUGUCAGCGGCGGUUGAAUUGCCAUGGCAAUGCGGUGGGCGCGCGCUUGUCGUGUUGGUCUCUUGGGAGGUAGCGGGGCUAGGCCGGGCGGGUAUCCGCCUCUCCCAGCUUAGGUGAGCGUCCCCGGGCGCCUCCGGAGCGCCGCGGCCGCAUGCAGUUCGUCGUGGCGGGGAGCCGGAGCCUGACCGGGGUUCCAGCGCUCGGGCCGUAGCCUUGGCUCCUGGACUUUCCCUGGCUCCGCCGCCACGUGGGAGCUGAGGCUCUGGGGCUUCCGCCUCCGGCGCGCGAUUAUUUCUCUAGAACAGUUUUCAUUUUUAAAAUUUGUAAAGCGCUUUUGCCUGUGUGAUUUCCUCUGGGUUUUUUUUUUUUUUCUUCCUUUUUGUAGAGACGGAAUUGGCGGCGGGGGCGGGGGGUCGAUGUCUCACUUUUUUGCCCAGGCUGGUCUCGAACUCCUGGCUUCAAGGGAUCCUCCUGCCUCGGCCUCUUAAAGUGCUGGGAUUACAGGCGUGAGCCACCGCCCCCGGCCGCCUCUGAGUUUCCAGCCUCGUUGGCCCUCCAGCCUUUUAACCUGUUGGGCCUAGGAUCAGGAAAGGUUUGUUGAAUGGGGAACUAAGAAGUGAAUUCGUUCGUUCGACAAACGUUUCCUGAGCAGCCGCUGGGUGCUAGGCGCAGUGCCAGCGCGGAAUGUCCAGGGAGACCUGGUGCCCAAAGCUUGGACCCAUCGUGAGAAAUGAGAAGCAGAUACAAAGCAGUGUGGGAGUGCAGAGGAGACAAAGCAAGCCUCAUCAGGCCCAUUGCUUGCUCUGCUCUCCCUUGUACUUACCAGUGCUUGACAAUAUACAGUUAUUUACUAGCUUGGUUAUUGACUUCCUACCCAGCACUCAGUUUUAUUCACUGCUGUAUCCUCAGUGCCUAGGACGAUGCUUGGAACGUGGUAAGUGCUCCUAUUGGCGGGAAGAAUAAAUCCGGAAGAGCAGGACCAGUGGACUUGCUACAUAAUCUGUAGUCUUGGAGCCGCACAGGGUUGGUGGUACCCUCGAGCACACCAGACUUGCAGAAAAAGCAUACUCCAGAGGAAGCUGAGGCAUGCCUGCUCGAGAGCCAGCUGUUCCAUGUGCAAUUUUCCUCUGAUAGUUUCUGGUCACUGUUGCCACGGUGAUAAUGACUGGGCUAUGUCAUUAUCUAUCCGCCAACAGUAAGAGAAGCUUUGCAGUCGAGAUAUUGUUUAGCAGAUGGAGUGUUUUCUGUUGAACACUAAGUACUGCCACAAGUUACUUUUUUUUUUUUAAACUUUGAGUAUUUUUUUACAAUGUUGCUGGAGGUGAUCUGUUUAUGCUUUGAGAGUGUUCGAAUUUAAAAUCAGAAAAUCAUGUCAGUGAGUGAGUCUUUCAAAUAAUCCUUCGGCAUGAAACCUGAGCCUAGUAAACUAUGAAAGUAAACUCGGCACAUUACCCGAAAGUCUCAAUGUCAUAUUUUCACCCCCAUCAAUAUUAUUGAUGAUUGCUCAUUUUCUAAUGUGGGACCUGAAAUUUACCAGGUGCUUAAAGAAUCUUUUUGUUUUUCAGAUUCAUUGAUUCCAGGUAAAUCAGAGGAACAAGCAACAUGAACAGAAAUAUGUAGAAAAAGCUAUUAUGCAGAAGCAUAAUUGUUGUUUCAGAAGUCCAGCAUCUGGUGCACUUAACAAUAGAGAAUAUAUUAAACUCUUUCCAAAAUAA
rnacentral:lncRNA from 10 species